AGAAGGGAUUCCAGAGCUCACCCAGAGGCAAAAAAGCAGAAAAAGGCUCUUGGGGGAAGAAAGCCAAGGGGAGGAGAGAAAGGACAGACGCACGGGAAGCUUUAAACUGGUUAGAAGACAACAAAUUUUCUGUACCUGGUCAGCUGCUGUAUCUUUGGAGAAAUUGAACUUUUCUGUGGGAAAAAGGGCAGAUAAUAAUGAGAGCUUUAAGCACAAAAUGUCUGAUAAUGACAAGAACAAUGAGAAGAGAAGCAAGAUGGAUAAGAGAAUAAAGACAUGGGAAGAAAGGCAGAAAAAAUCCUGGAAAUCUGCACACAGGCCUG
rnacentral:lncRNA from 1 species